AACUGGUCGCGUCCGGACGCGCGACAGCUUCCACCCGCCUCAGGCAGUAUCAGCCGCGCCGCAGUCGGAGGAAAUAGACGCGGGGCCUGAGGCUCCUGGACUUGAGAGGCUGCAGAAAAGGCCCAGGAGGCUGUUGAUGACAUGAACGACCACCAGGAGAAGCUGGAGCAGGCUGAUGCACAGAAGGGCGGAGAAGAGGGACACGUGCCAGACAACAGCUGCAGAGGGCUCCAGGCAGACGGAGUUCCAGAGCGAACGGUCAUACAGAUAAUUCCUAUCCCAAAAAAUAAGGAGACCAGGGGUCAGGCGAUAAGUAAGGAAAGCCAAACAGGCAACCCCAGUAGAAAACUGGGGUCUCCCCUGACCGGGUCAUGGGACUGGGCUCAUGAGGGUGACCGUUACUGCUCCAUUUGCAAUUUUCUGAGUAUCAGAGGAGCAAGAUGCUAGGAUGUGUGACCCAAAGGAGCUUGUAGUUCGUCUGUGUGUCUUUUUGUCUCUCUCUCUCUCUCUGUCUGAAAAGACCAAGCCCAAGCCUCCACCCAUUUACCUACUAUGCAGGUCUUUGAAUGGGUAACCAUAUUUCCAAGCUUGUGUCUGAUUGAAGGAUGAAACAUCAAACAUGCAAAAAGGACCAUCUUUCAGAGCAACUCCAGAAGUGACAAAGCAAAUCAGGGCUCCAAGUAAAGCCAGGCCACCUGACAACAGAGCAGUAAGCACCUGCGGAGGGAGGAGAAACACUGAGCUAAGACGGGGUCGCAGCUGGGGAGCCUGCGGAGGGAGGAGAAACGCUGAGCUAAGACGGGGUCGCAGCUGGGGAGUCUGUGGGGCGGUCUGCACAGGUCUGACUUCUCUGGUCUCAGUGUUCUUCCGUCCUGUCAUGGGGGAGAAUUCUGUCCAUGGCACCCCCUUUGAAGCAUAACCCAUGGUGGGGAGGCCGUGAGGGGUUUCUAGGAGAGAAAGGACCAAGAAGCAGAAUCGCAGGCCCCGGAUCUCCCUGACCGUGAGUUCGCCUGAGCUGCUCAGCAGCUUGGCAUCACAAACCUUUUGCACAUUACAGCCAUUCAGCCUCUGAGCUAAAGAAGAAGCUACCACAGGCCCACCACUGACUCUUCUAAGGAAAAGCUGCAUUUUCAAAAGUUCCAGGUUCCCAACUCUGAUUCUUCUCUAUUUCAAAUCAAGGAUAAAAAAAAGGAAGGGAGGGAAGGAAGGAAAGAAAGAAGCAGGAAAGAAGGGAAGGAGAGAAGUGGGAGGGAGGGAAAGAAGGGAGAGAAACAGCGAGAGAGAAGCUGCAGCCAAGCUCUGAAAUGACUCCACUUCUGUCGCUGUGUUUCUCCAGCUGAGAGCUUUCUUGGCCAUCAGUCUGUGCUCCCACUGCCCUCCCAGAAAAUAACUGGGUUUCCUUCCUUGACAGGUUUCUAGCCUGCUUCUACAUUGGCUUCUUUCUCGUUCCUUCCUUCCUUCCCUUCCUUCCUUCUUUCUCUCUCUCUCUUUCUUUUUGAGACAGAGUCUCACUCUGUCGCCCAGGCUGGAGUGCAGUGGCACGAUCUCAGCUCACUGCAACCUCUGCCUCUGAGUUCAAGCGAUUCUCCUGCCUCAGCCUCCCAAGUAGCUGGGACUACAAGCAUGCGCCACCACACCCAGCUAAUUUUUGUAUUUUUAGUAGAAAUGGGGUUUCACUGUGUUGGUCAUGCCGGUCUCAAUCUCCUGACCUUGUGAUCCACCUGCUUCAGCCUCCCAAAGUGCUGGGAUUACAGGCAUGAGCCACCGUGCCCGGCCCAUAUUGGAUUCUUUCUUAGGGUUCUAGAUUUUUUUCUCCCUCCCCCAAAAAUGCCUAUUUUAAAAAUGUG